rnacentral:rRNA from 1 species
GACGGAGGGUGCGAGCGUUGUUCGGAUUGACUGGGCGUAAAGGGCGUGUAGGCGGUCAGCCAAGUCUGGUGUGAAAGCCCGGGGCUUAACCCCGGAAGGGCACUGGAAACUAGCUGGCUGGAGCGCGAGAGAGGAGGGUGGAAUUCCUGGUGUAGCGGUGAAAUGCGUAGAUAUCAGGAGGAACACCGGUGGCGAAGGCGGCCCUCUGGCUCGUUGCUGACGCUGAAACGCGAAAGCGUGGGGAGCAAACAGG